rnacentral:rRNA from 1 species
AGAGUUUGAUCAUGGCUCAGAACGAACGCUGGCGGCGCGCUUAACACAUGCAAGUCGAGCGGCUCUUUCGGGGGCAGCGGCGGACGGGUGAGUAACGCGUGGGAACCUGCCCUGGAGUUCGGGAUAGCGGCUGGAAACGGCCGGUAACCCCGGAUACGCCCCGCGAGGGGGAAAGUUCACGCUCUGGGAUGGGCCCGCGUCCGAUUAGCUUGUUGGUGGGGUAACGGCCUACCAAGGCUCCGAUCGGUAGCUGGUCUGAGAGGAUGGCCAGCCACACUGGGACUGAGACACGGCCCAGACUCCUACGGGAGGCAGCAGUGGGGAAUCUUGGACAAUGGGGGCAACCCUGAUCCAGCGACGCCGCGUGGGUGAUGAAGGCCUUCGGGUUGUAAAGCCCUUUUCCUAGGGACGAUGAUGACGGUACCUGGGGAAUAAGCACCGGCUAACUCCGUGCCAGCCGCCGCGGUAAUAC